AGUGAACGCUGGCGGUAGGCCUAACACAUGCAAGUCGAACGGCAGCACAGUAAGAGCUUGCUCUUACGGGUGGCGAGUGGCGGACGGGUGAGUAAUACAUCGGAAUCUACUUUUUCGUGGGGGAUAACGUAGGGAAAUUUACGCUAAUACCGCAUACGACCUACGGGUGAAAGCAGGGGAUCUUCGGACCUUGCGCGACUCACUGAGCCGAUGCCGGACUAGCUAGUUGGCGGGGUAAAGGCCCACCAAGGCGACGAUCCGUAGCUGGUCUGAGAGGGUGAUGAGCCACACUGGAACUGAGACACGGUACAGAGUCCUACGGGAGGCAGAAGUGGGGAAUAUUGGAAAAUGGGCGGAAGCCUGAACAAGCCAUGCAGCGUGGGUGAAGAAGGGCUUCGGGUUGGAAAACCCUUUUGUUGGGGAAGAAAAGCUGCAGGAGAAGAGACGGUUGUGCUGACGGUACCUAAAGAAUAAGCACCGGCUAACUACGUG
rnacentral:rRNA from 1 species